UCAAUUGUGUAUUCCUUUCAGAACUGAAUCUAUGUAAUUUAGCAAAAAUUUACCACUGCCACUGAGA
rnacentral:snoRNA from 1 species